rnacentral:rRNA from 1 species
AUGGAGCACUCGUACAGCAACAGCGGCAUCAGCAACUACGGCGGCGCAAAGGAGAAGAGGCCUCCACUGAAGAGGGGGCAGCUGAAGCGGCAGAUCGUCAGGACCAUCAGCAACCUCGUGCUGCCGAGGAGCGACGGCAUGGCCGCGGAGAAGCGAGCAUCGGGUCGCACCAGCCUCGGCACCUACAACUGA